UCGCCGUCGCGGGGGGCGCCGUGUGCGCCCUGCUGCUCGCCUGCCUGCUGCUGCGCGUCCUCAGGUCAGGCUGGCGGUGGAGAAAGCCCCGGAAAUAUGACAUCAUCACCACCCCGGCAGAGCGAGUGGAGAUGGCGCCACUGAAGGAGGAGGAAGAGGAGGAUGAGGAGGCCACAGUGUUUGACAUCAAAUAUAGGUAAAUGCUGUUUCCACCAGCCACCUGGGGGACCAGGGAUCCCCUGUCGCCUGGAAGCAUCUAGAAGCUGCCUAGUCCUAAGUGUCGGGACCAAUUGAAAAAAAAA